CAUUUGGUCUAGUGGUAUGAUUCUCGCUUUGGGUGCGAGAGGUCCGGAGUUCGAUUCUCCGAAUGCCCCUUUUUGUGAAGGUUAAGAGUUUAAAUUUUCAACAUUUUUUUUAAAUAGAAAUAAGCUUAGUGUUCCUUAUUUAUUGUUGAAGAGUUGGCAGCUGACAAGAUUGACUUAUUAAUUGGUUAGUUAUAUACCAGCAAGCAUUAGUUUUUUAUAUUUUUAGUUUUUUAAGAUCCUGAAGCUGUCAAGUUUGAAUUAUAUACUGGUGUGCAGUACUAGUAGUUAAUUGACAACUAGCAUCAAGGGCUGCAUGUGACUGCCUUGUUGAGAUGAAUGCUGGAAUACAUGAAUUAGUGUAUUUGUGUUGGCUGAAAAACAUGUUGGUCUUAGAAGACU
rnacentral:tRNA from 1 species